rnacentral:rRNA from 1 species
UACGAAGGGGGCUAGCGUUGCUCGGAAUCACUGGGCGUAAAGGGUGCGUAGGCGGGUUUUUAAGUCAGAGGUGAAAUCCUGGAGCUCAACUCCAGAACUGCCUUUGAUACUGAAAGUCUUGAGUAUGGGAGAGGUGAGUGGAACUGCGAGUGUAGAGGUGAAAUUCGUAGAUAUUAGGAAGAACACCAGUGGCGAAGGCGGCUCACUGGCCCGGAACUGACGCUGAGGUACGAAAGCGUGGGGAGCAAACAGG